ACUCAUGAAUCCACGGGGUUUUCGCCAGCCUAUCUGAACUUUGGCAGGGAGCUAUCAGCAACUGGAGAUGGAUUUGAUAUUCUUCGCUGCGAGGAUUUGCCUGCAGUAGAAGACACAAACCAGUAUUGUGAGAAGCUCAAGGGUCUGCGGGAACUUUAUCAGGUAGUAUCGAGGAGAUUGGAAGAAUCCCAUCAACGUGGAGCACAUCGGUAUAACCUUAGACGAAGAGCAGUGGAAUUUAGGGUGAGGGACCUGGUCUUGAAGCGAAAUUUCGCUCAGUCAGAUGCGGCAAACUUUUUCUCUGCCAAGCUAACACCAAGGUAUGUUGGUCCUUACGUAGUGGCUGCAAGGCUAUCUCCAACAGUGUAUGCCUUAGAAGACCAGCAAGGUAAACGCAUUGGAAAUUGGCAUGUCUCGGAUUUGAAGAGCUAUCAGACCUAGUAAGAAAAUGUGGGACAUUUUCUUCGGGAAGAGGGGUAUUUGUAACGUUUCGCAAUCAUAGGCCUUAUCUGCACUCGGAAACGGGACUGAUCACCCCGUUUAGAAUUAAUCAGUUGCGGUGCGCGCCCGUAAUUGUCCGACACCGUAAGGUAAUGAUUAGCGAAAAUGGUCAGAUAUUGCCGCUCUCCACUUACCGGCGAAUCUAAAAAUCCGUAGAUUGACCCAGUAGCCAAGCUUGACCUAGAUGGCGCUAUUAUCAGCCGUGAUGUACGUAACAGUAGUUAACGAGCAAGGACCACGUUGUGAAGAAAAGUUGAAGUUCGAGGAUCAUCGUUUGCCACCCUCAGGUCUUCUCGUCGUCUUGUAAUUAUUUCGAGGAUUUUCUUGGACUCUGAGGGUUCUGGUCGACGACACAAGUUUGGCUGUGACGUGUUCCCUUGCAUCCCGGUCGGCCGGCAUCGUCUCCACACCUGGAUGACCUGGACACGCCAUUAUCGCCCAGGACGGACCUUAUCAGACUUCAACCGAUAAGUCUAACUCUUAAUUACAACUUUCGACCGUAUCGGUGACCACUAUACAUUUGUGUGGGACACAGAAACAGACUCAGUAUUUGCCACUUUAAGAGUGAAGUUAUAUGAACUAAGCUGAAUAGUAUAUUGGCUGUUUCCAUAGUCUAUAAUAUUGUCGUUUUAAACAUGUAUUAAUAAUUGUUCUAUUUAUUCUCUGUUAAGAUAUAUGUGUCCUAUUUAUUAUUUUCGGUGGCCACCGCUAAUUAUCUCUGUAUUGGCUAGAUUUAUUUUGCUCGAGCAAACUAGUACAUCCUAUCAUUUAACAUAGUUAGAGCCUAUUUGUUUGAAAAGUAUAUUUAUUUAUAGCUUCAUUAUUAGGGUAUAGCUCUGUUUUGCUUGAGCGAACUGUUCUCAUUAAUUUAGCAAGGUUUACUUUUAUUUUGCAGGAACAAUAGAUAUAUAUUGUGAAUGUUUAUUAGGGCAUGAACCCCUGAUGCAUGUGAUUUCUUUUGUGUGUAUUUAUUGAGUGGCUUUUACUUUCUAUUGCCUUGGCAUUAAAUUAAGCUCAAAUUAUCGAAA